rnacentral:lncRNA from 1 species
UUUUCCAACUCCUCCUUCCUCCACCACCACCGUACCCGGCGGCCCCCGGAGCCCGCGCAGAUGGCGACCGCGGCCACGGCGUCCGCGACCGCGGCGACCCGCUUUACGCUCCUAGCGGGCGCCGGCCUCCGCAGCCGCGCCGCCCGCCUCCCCACUGCCGUGCGGUUCCAGCGCCAGCGGGGGCUCACCACCACCGCGCUCCUCAAGACCGCCGACCUCCGCCCCAAGGAGCAGGGCCAGCCCGAGACGCUCGACUACCGCGUGUUCCUCGUCGACGGCGGGGGCCGGAAGGUGUCGCCGUGGCACGACGUGCCGCUGCGCGCCGGGGACGGGGUGUUCCACUUCAUCGUCGAGAUCCCCAAGGAGAGCAGCGCCAAGAUGGAGGUCGCCACCGACGAGGCCUUCACGCCCAUCAAGCAGGACACCAAGAAGGGCAA